GUUUUACACUUGAUCUCUGAACUUACAGGUAAGUUCUUAUGUUGACAAGUUCAUUCACUGAUGC
rnacentral:snoRNA from 1 species